rnacentral:rRNA from 1 species
UACAGAGGUCUCAAGCGUUGUUCGGAUUCAUUGGGCGUAAAGGGUGCGUAGGCGGCGCGGUAAGUCGGGUGUGAAAUCUCGGAGCUUAACUCCGAAACUGCAUUCGAUACUGCCGUGCUUGAGGACUGGAGAGGAGACUGGAAUUUACGGUGUAGCGGUGAAAUGCGUAGAUAUCGUAAGGAAGACCAGUGGCGAAGGCGGGUCUCUGGACAGUUCCUGACGCUGAGGCACGAAGGUCAGGGAGAGCAAACGGG